rnacentral:rRNA from 1 species
CAGUGCGCUAACCGCAAGGAGGCAGCUGACCACGGUGGGAUCAGCGACUGGGGUGAAGUCGUAACAAGGUAGCCCUAGGGGAACCUGGGGCUGGAUCACCUCCUUAAGCUUGGAUCCCGGG